GACCUCUCCGGUGUCCUAGUGGUUAGAGCGUCCUCUUCGGAUGCGGUAGAUCGCGGGUUCAAUCCACGUCCGGGUCA